rnacentral:rRNA from 1 species
CCUACGGGAGGCAGCAGUGAGGAAUAUUGGUCAAUGGACGAAAGUCUGAACCAGCCAAGUAGCGUGAAGGAUGACUGCCCUAUGGGUUGUAAACUUCUUUUAUAUGGGAAUAAAACAUGGGAUGCAUACCCUCUCGUAUGUACCAUAUGAAUAAGGAUCGGCUAACUCCGUGCCAGCAGCCGCGGUAAUACGGAGGAUCCGAGCGUUAUCCGGAUUUAUUGGGUUUAAAGGGAGCGUAGGUGGACUUUUAAGUCAGUUGUGAAAGUUUGGGGCUCAACCGUAAAAUUGCAGUUGAAACUGGCAGGCUUGAGUACAGUAGAGGUGGGCGGAAUUCGUGGUGUAGCGGUGAAAUGCUUAGAUAUCACGAAGAACCCCGAUUGCGAAGGCAGCUCAC